CCUACGGGAGGCAGCAGUGAGGAAUAUUGGUCAAUGGACGAGAGUCUGAACCAGCCAAGUAGCGUGAAGGAUGACUGCCCUAUGGGUUGUAAACUUCUUUUAUAUGGGAAUAAAAUGUUCCACGUGUGGGGUUUUGUAUGUACCAUAUGAAUAAGGAUCGGCUAACUCCGUGCCAGCAGCCGCGGUAAUACGGAGGAUCCGAGCGUUAUCCGGAUUUAUUGGGUUUAAAGGGUGCGUAGGCGGAUUGUUAAGUCAGUUGUUAAAGUUUGCGGCUCAACCGUAGAAGUGCAGUUGAAACUGGCAGUCGUGAGAAGAGGAGAGGUAGGCGGAAUGCGUGGUGUAGCGGUGAAAUGCUUAGAUAUCGCGCAGAACUCCGAUUGCGAAGGCAGCGCACUGGACUGCAACUGACACUGAGGCUCGAAAGUGUGGGUAUCAAACAGGAUUAGAUACCCUUGUAGUC
rnacentral:rRNA from 1 species